rnacentral:lncRNA from 1 species
GCCUAGUGGUGCAAUUAGUCUUUUUUUUUUUUUUUGAGGGUUUUAAUAAAGUUCAUGAUUUCAAUUCAUAGUUUAUUUGAAGCCAUGCCAACGCGUGUUGGAACUGGUACAAUGUGGCUAUGUCAGCUUUGCAUUUUUUUUUGCAAACAAAGUGAUGGGUUUUGGUUUAAGGAAAGCCACGAUUAGCGAAAAUUGGGACGGGGAAGUUUCGAGACGCUUCUAGAAGGUUUCGGAGUGCGAGGAGAGAGGAGGUCAUGUCAUGCGUGCUCCAAAACAACCAGAGAAAAAUAUCGUUUUAUUUUGAUUGUUUUGGCUGGACGGUUGAAGAUACGUUUCUGUGUUGUACUCGUUCGUGUCCAACGAGAUAAAAAUUGUGUCAGGAAACAGAGUUUUUAGCUCGUCACGUCGAGCUGCCCCGCCGCGACACCGAUAGCGCUUCGUCGUGCUCCCGGCAACGCGCGAAGUUCCUCGGGCCUCGUUGGACGUUUCAUCUGCGGCUGAAACACGAGUGGACGACGAUCCCGACCUUCUCCUGGUGGCGGCUGCGUGGACAGACGAGGGCCUGAAGAAAGGGGAUUGAACGCAAAUCCGACUGCACAGCCCCAGGUGUUUCAAGACACAAGCGCUGCCUCCUGUGCUACUGUGUUACCCACUGGUGGCAAAGUAUUGCACAUUCAUGGAAACAAGAGUAGCCCAGACAGGCUACCGUGGCCUGAAGGAUUUCCAAUUGUGCUCGAAGAUGCAACGGAGGCCUACGUGAGAGAUGGCACUCGGGCUAUUCAUGCUUGAGAAGCAUCCACGUCUAAAAGAAUGGCAAAAACCUUUGCGCUCAGAAGACACGAAGUAGUCAACGUGUCCCCCGGAGUUGUGGAUUUUAAAGAUGGAUGGCCUGUACCAUUUAACCCUCAGAGCACCUGUGUAAUAUGUGAUUUGAUGUAUUGCUGAAAACAUAUGGAAAAUGUCAUAUCUUGCUGCAGAGAAGUUGUAGAUUAAAAAGACAGAUUUCACAUCAUCAUUAUUUAUUACUUUGUCACCCAUUAGGGGAUUCAUGAAAUCAUUCCUUAGGAAUGAAUCACAUGACAUAUGCCCAACAUCUGCAUACCUUUUCUCACUAUAUUACAAUAGUGGAUGUUAACGUGUGCCAGCAAUCCCUAGGAUUGUGUUGAAGGAUAUAUCCAAUUUAAUGAAUGGUACAUUUUAGAACUCUGGACCGGACAAGGGAAGUUUUUGCUUGGGUGAAAAGGAUGAUCUCGUUCAGGAAUACCAUGUGUCAAUUCUUGGUAUCCCAUAAGAUGAACACACACACUUUCAUGAGGUAGGAAUUUUCACCACAAAUGAUUAUAUAUAGAUUCUCUGCAAGGUGGUGUUGUCCUCCUCAGUCUCUUGAACAC